rnacentral:rRNA from 1 species
GAGACACGCUGGCGGCGUGGAUUAGGCAUGCAAGUCGAACGGUAUCAUCCUUUCGGGGGUGAGAGAGUGGCGAACUGGUGAGUAACACGUAGGUUAUCUACCCUCAAGACGGGGACAACCCAGGGAAACUUGGGCUAAUACCGGAUGUGAGCAACUUUUAGUUGUUUGAAAGGUGGCGUAAGCUGUCGCUUGGGGAUGAGCCUGCGUCCUAUUAGUUAGUUGGUGAGGUAACGGCUCACCUAGGCAAUGAUAGGUAGGCGGCCUUAACGGGUGGUCGCCCACACUGGGAUUGAGAUACGGCCCAGACUCCUACGGGAGGCAGCAGUCGAGAAUAGUCUACAAUGGUCGGAAGACUGAUAGUGCGACGCCGCGUGAACGAUGAAUCCCUUCGGGGUGUAAAGUUCUUUUAUAUGUGAGCAGUGCUUCUUAUAUUAACAGUAUGGGGAGAGAGAUAUUAGCAUAUGAAUAAGCAACGGCUAACUCCGUG